AAAACUGUUCCUCACAAGUACUCCAUUGUGAAUUUCCUAGUUUUGUGUAGAUCAGUAGAUCACUGGGCCAUAAUACAAUCUCAUUGAAAUACCAAAAUUCCCCAUAACAUGAAUAUUAAGAAAUGACCAUUGGUAUGGAGUGGGCCUUACUGUAAAUUAUAGUGAAUGAUGUCAAUAUCCCCUAUGGCACAAUUAAGGUCAAUGGGACAAACUCAAAGGUUCUAAUACAAAUGACCUUUGAGGUUGUGCUAAAUAUGAGUUGAUACCACCUGAGUUAUUGCAGAAAAGCUCGUGUUCUUCAGAUCUAUAGUAAUUUGUUCAUACUAAUAUCUUAAUUUCUUGGUGGAGAUUGGGAGGUUAGGUUUUGUCAUGCUUAUGGGGAGGGAAUCAGGGUUGUUUAGGUUGGUUAGCUAAAGCUUCUUUUGCCCAUGCUUGAGUGUUUCAGAUUCUCCAACAUGUCCAAAUGUUUAAGAGAGAUUUUAGAGAUGAAGUUGUGGGUGUUUCCUGGCCUAGUAGGGUGCUGUUUAUCAAACCAAUAAAGAAAUAAAAGCAUAUAUCUAAAAGUUUAUCGGUAAAGGUGGAACUAUUUGGGUUGGGGAUUCUGGUUCAACGGAAAAAAAAAAAAAAUCUCUUCCCAUAAUUAUCAUAGAAAAAAAAAGUGAAUCAUUUUUAUUUGUUUGGUCUAUGAUAAAGUAAAUUUGUGUGAUAAUUCUCAAAAGAUGGGUUCAGCCAUUCAGCUUCACAAGGACUUGUUUUUCAUCUAUAUCCGCAUAUUUUCUUGACCCUAUUUAAUAUCAGGUUUCAAGACUCUCUUUCAGUAUAAUAGAAUCUUUUAUGUCUAAAUUGAAGAAAAAAGGAACUAAGAUUGAUAUUUAUAUGCUCAAACUUAAGAGAACUAGAAAAAUAUUCACUUUUUAUGAAAACUGGGGGAAUGUGUGCAAUUUUGAACUUUAAUAAUGGCUAGAGAGUGAUCAAUAGACAACGUCUAUGAGGGGGCAAGUAUGUAUUGUUUGAUGAAAGAAACAAUCACAGCGGGCGGAAAUCCUACUGCUGCAAUGCAGGCUUCAAAUUGCACUGAUUAAAGGCUAUUGAUUUUGUACCAAUCAAUCUCAGUAGCUCAGACCAUAAUCAGUCAAAAAAUCGCAAAUGUUGCCAGGACAAUGCAAUAGUAUUUAAGUUUUAAAAUAUGACUAGCAGACAAUAUAUAUGGCCUAGCUGCAGGAUUACUUUGUUUGUGCCUCAGUGAUUCUAGAAGAGGUGUCAAAGACAAUUAAGUUAUGUUAGACAAAAGACAGCUUGCAUGCAGAUGCACAGAGAUAUUACAUUGCUGUUAUUGAGGUGCAAAAUCCUGUAUCUUAUCAUUGUUCCUACAUCAAGGGGUCUAACUAUAUUUACUUUUUUCCUGUUUCUUUUAUAUUGUCAAAGGAUGUUGAGUUUGAAUCUACUG
rnacentral:misc_RNA from 1 species